CCUACGGGUGGCAGCAGUGGGGAAUAUUGCACAAUGGGGGAAACCCUGAUGCAGCGACGCCGCGUGAGCGAUGAAGUAUUUCGGUAUGUAAAGCUCUAUCAGCAGGGAAGAAGAUGACGGCACCUGACUAAUAAGAACCGGCUAACUACGUGCCAGCAGCCGCGGCAAUACGUAGGGGGCAAGCGUUAUCCGGAUUUUCUGGGUGUAAAGGGAGCGUAGACGGGGAUGCAAGCCAGAUGUGAAAGCCGGGGGCUCAACCCCAGGACUGCAUUUGAAACUGUGUGGCUGGAGUGCCGGAGAGGUAGGUGGAAUUCCUGGUGUAGCGGUGAAAUGCGUAGAUAUUAGGAGGAACACCAGUGGCGAAGGCGGCUUACUGGACGGUGACUGACGUUGAGGCUCGAAAGCGUGGGGAGCAAACAGGAUUAGAUACCCGUGUAGUC
rnacentral:rRNA from 1 species